rnacentral:rRNA from 1 species
UACGUAGGGUGCAAGCGUUGUCCGGAAUUAUUGGGCGUAAAGAGCUCGUAGGCGGUUUGUCGCGUCGGCUGUGAAAACUCGGGGCUCAACCCCGAGCCUGCAGUCGAUACGGGCAGACUAGAGUGUUGCAGGGGAGACUGGAAUUCCUGGUGUAGCGGUGAAAUGCGCAGAUAUCAGGAGGAACACCGGUGGCGAAGGCGGGUCUCUGGGCAACAACUGACGCUGAGGAGCGAAAGCGUGGGGAGCGAACAGG